GGCUCAAUUCCGUAAAUGUAUCCGACUGAAAAUUGCUCGUGUUUUUUUGCAGAAUUAACCGGGAUAUUCUUCUACCAGAUUUCUUUAAGAAGUCUUUUGACAGCAAUUACAUCGCACCAUGUAGAAACAUUCCAGCUAUGAAUCUCGACCUCUGGUCAGGUCUUCAAAGGAAUGACAACGUUAACGGAGGCCUACCUAGUAGAAUUGGGAGCUCGAGACCUGUAGUACAAAGGCCUCGUUCCAACAACAGACCACAAUUUACGACAACGCGGAGUCCAUUCUUUAGGAACGGUUUCUUUGACAGCAUUAGGAUACGUAACUGAUAGGAUACGUACCGUAUUAGUAUCCAUCCAUUUAGUUAUUCCUAAUCGCGGCAACAGUAAUUCGCUGUGGCUUCCGUCAUGCAAUAAAUUGGAUUAGAAUAGCGCUGCGAUCCAAAGCACUCGCCGUUGUCACAAAGUUUGCGAAAUAUUAGUUACUGAAUUUCCGACAUCCGCAAACUUAAUAUAUAUUCUGUACACGAAAUAUAUUAAUAAACGAUUUUCUAGCGCCACACAAA